GUUCGCUUUACGUGUAUAAACGUAUUUGAGGAGAAUAUUUUGAGUUUUAAUGAAUUAAAAGAACAUUUUCGGUGCACAUUUUACGGAAUUUUUUUUUAUUACUGUGCAGGUUUAGGUUUAUGGACGAGAGCGCGAUAAACGCUAUGACAUUAUGAUGCUCAAAUUAUUUAUUUCUAUGUAUCAAUAAAACCUUAGUCUGUUAUAGAAACUUACAGCAGCUUUUAGCGUAUUCAUUAAAAUAAUUUUAGCUUUCAUGAUUAAAUGCUGUGUCAGCGUGAUUACUUUGGUGUUACAAGAUCAUAAAUAGUGAAAAUUUCCUGCUUUGUUUAAGGAUUCCUGUCAAGAACAUUAUAGAACUAUACAUUUUAUAAUCAUCUUAUGUUCAUUCCUUGGAAAAUUUGCUGCAUUAAUCCAGAAAUCAAGUGCAAAAUGUGUGGGGGAUUUACAUGCUCAAAAAAUGCAUUGAUUGCAUUAAAUAUCAUAUACAUUCUGGUUUCCUUCAUUCUGAUUGGAGUUGCUGCAUACAGCAGAGUUGCUAGCAUAGUCACAAAUCUUGCCAUUGUUGGUGGCAUAAUUGCUUGUGGUGUGUUCCUUUUCCUGUUAUCAUUAAUGGGUCUGAUUGGUGCCAUUAAACAUCAUCAAGUGCUGCUUUUUUUUUAUAUGGUUAUUUUAUUUAUGUUAUUUAUUAUUCAAUUCAGCAUAGCUUGUGCUUGUUUAGCUGUAAGUACUGCACAGCAACACCAGAUAGCAAUGGAAGGCUGGAGAAGAGCUAAGCCUAAUAUAAAAAUAAAGGCACAAACUUUUUUCCAUUGUUAUGGAUUUGAAAACCAAAGCCUGUCUCCAGAUGAUCCUCUCGGUGGUGGUGUGCCAUAUCAAAAUAUUACUGGCUGUUCUGUUAAUGGUGUAAAUCAAUGUCCUACUUGUUGGAGGAUACUUAGAAAUGCAAUCAAUAGUAGCUUGAAGAUUAGUGGUGGUAUAGGUCUAUUUUUCAGCUUUUCUGAGUUUGUAGGAGUUUGGUUGACUGUUCGUUAUCGUAACCAGAGAGAUCCUCGAGCUAACCCUAGUGCUUUUCUCUAAAACUAACACUAAUUCAGGACUAGUUUUGAUGGUUUAACUACAGAUCCUCCUGCCUCAGCUGCCUAAGUGCAAAUGAACAAGAUAAAGAAUCAUUAUUUGGUUUUGGCCGUCUUCAUUACUCACAGGUAUCGUCACUUGUGGCUGCCUUUGAAGGAAAGAGUUUCUCUUUUAUAAUAUUUAGAAAUAUGGAUAUUUAAAAGAAAUUAUGGUCAUAAAUAUUUAUUUCAUCACGCUUCAAUUACUUUUGAAGCAUCAUGUGUUCAAGAUGUGAAAAUGUUCAAAUUCAUUGUUGCUUUUUCCAUGCUGUUUUUAGUUACAAUUUAUAUGCUCAGUUUUAUUAGUGUAAAUUUACUAUUUUUAUCUUGCAGUGCUAUAUUAUGUGUAGAAAUUUAAUAAAUUUUUGUGGAAGAA